rnacentral:rRNA from 1 species
AACGAACGCUGGCGGCAGGCCUAACACAUGCAAGUCGAGUGAAGCCUUCGGGCUUAGCGGCGGACGGGUGAGUAACGCGUGGGAACGUGCCCUUUGGUACGGAAUAGCCCCGGGAAACUGGGAGUAAUACCGUAUGUGCCCUUCGGGGGAAAGACUUAUCGCCAAAGGAUCGGCCCGCGUUGGAUUAGGUAGUUGGUGGGGUAAUGGCCUACCAAGCCGACGAUCCAUAGCUGGUUUGGGUGGAUGAUCAGCCACACUGGGACUGAGACACGGCCCAGAAUCCUACGGGAGGCAGCAGUGGGGAAUCUUAGACAAUGGGGGCAACCCUGAUCUAGCCAUGCCGCUUGCUCGAUGUAGGCCUUAGGGUUGUAAAGAUCUUUCAGUGGGGAAGAUAAUGACUGUACCCACAGAAGAAGCCCCGGCUAACUCCGUGCCAGCAGCCGCCGCCGUAA